CAGCCGUAAACUAUGCUCGCUAGGUGUCAGGCAUGGCGCGACCGUGUCUGGUGCCGCAGGGAAGCCGUGAAGCGAGCCACCUGGGAAGUACGGCCGCAAGGCUGAAACUUAAAGGAUUGGCGGGGGAGCACAACAACGGGUGGAGCCUGCGGUUUAAUUGGACUCAACGCCGGGAAGCUCACCGGAUAAGACAGCGGAAUGAUUGCCGGGCUGAAGACUCUGCAUGACUAGCUGAGAGGAGGUGCAUGGCGUAGAC
rnacentral:rRNA from 1 species